CAGAGAAACAAUUACACUACUGAAGGUGAUCAAAAGGAAGCAAGCCCAGCCAGAGCUGCUGCAGGUAAACUGCCAGAGGGACCAGACCUGGAAACCAGCCAGUGACACAGAUAUGCUACAGAGCAUCUGGAGGAAGGACCCUGGAGAGAGUCCAGCGGAGAAUGUAUAUUAUUGAACACCAGAAAUUCCUGAAAACACCACAGAGAAGAAUUCAGAAAGAUUAUCCCAUGACUCCUGAAAGCGAAGGCACCCAUGUACAUAUCCUGUCAUCACAUACAUCUCGGGGAACCCCGAAAUCAAAGUGCUGUCUCCAGUGAAGGUGCCUUUUUCUGUCCCCAUCUUUAAUAGGCAGCAAUCUUUAUUUCCCUGGAGGGAAAUGGCAAUGAAUUCGAAAUGGGAUCAAUCUUGAAGAAUGCAAGGUGCUGAGACUGUAGAUCACUGCUGGUUAGUUAAUUAGUUUAGCCCUCGCUCAUUUCAUCUCAAAGACAGAACACCUUGUAACAAGGGGGAAGGAGAGUGACAUGCAAAUAAGCAAUGACACCACUUAACAAAACAGUUUGUGUGUGUUGCUGGGGUUUUGUUUGUGUUUGCCUGUUUGUUUGGUUUUUUUAAUGUGCUCUGGAGAUUUGAUUUCUAUUUGAUACAAUCAAUAAAAUAAGCAGCAUGCAGUUUACUUGGGCCAUUCUGGCUUUUAAGGAUUAUUCAAUUUACUGAAAGGGAUUACAUCUUUAUCCAGUGGAAACCGCUAAAAGAGAUACGGGCAGGAGACUAGAGAAGAAGAUGUUUAUAGACUAGCAUGAAUGUGAUUGGAGUUGGCAUACAGAGAUAUAUUUACUGAGACAGUGAAUCCUGCAUCCUAUGAGACGUAAAACAAACAUACUCUUCACACACAGAUGUUAGAGAUACCUUUGAACAGCCAAAAACAGUUUGAGUUUUUAAUUACUGAGGUUUAUUGAGGAGAGGAAUGACAAAAUUGCAAAAAUUGGUGGCAAUGAAAAGAUAAAUCUUAUACUUAAUGAUCAGGGUUUGAAAGUCUAAUAAGCCGCUUGGCUGAGUUUUAUUUUCUUUGCUAAAUUGGUGAGGAAGAGAUGGCUCUAAGGAUUUGAAGUCACUGAAGUUUCAUCCAUGUAAAUGAAGGCAGAAUUGUGCAUAGAUUCGAUUUCUAAAUUCCCUUGAAAUUUUGCUUUAUAGGGCAUUCUGAUUUUUUUUAAAGCAAUAAAAGAGAGAAAACGUAAAGAGAUUAACUAA